GACUUGUUGCAAGGUUGUUCCAACAAGUCCGAUACAGUCAUGAUGUAACAAUAUUGUUACAACCUUGUGUGGUCAACCUUGUAACAUUCUUGUUAUAUCAUGACUGUAUCAGACUUGUUAGAACAACCUUGUAACAAGUC
rnacentral:miRNA from 1 species